AAUACACUGACACAGAGAGGAAUGUGGAAAUUUUAAACCAUGUGCUGAACGACUUGGAGCUCUUCAUGGGGAAAGUAGCUGCUCCUAAUGAAGAGAAGAACAACAAGAAGAAAAAGAAGAAGAAAAGCUCAAAGCCAAAUGCUGACAACUUGCCACAUUGGGAGGAGUUUGUCGUCUGUCUUCAGAAAAUCAAGUAUGGAUUCAACCUGCUGGGAAAGCUGAAUGGAAGAUCAGAACCUAGCGCUGCU